UCUCUCUGUAUAUACUUAAUUAGUUGGUCCUUUUUUGUUAAAAUCUCCUUUUGAAACUUGUGUGCAGGCAUACACAAAUGAAUUGGAACUUGAAGUGGCUCAUUUGGUAGAAGAGAAUGCCAGGAUUAGAAAGGAAGUGAACAAGAUGUUGGAAGGUCGUCAGAAUCCCAAAAUGCACACUCUCCAUAGAACCUCAACAGCCCCAUUUUGAGGAGCAGUUACAAUGUAAUCACUCUUUCGAGUUCCAUUUUGAUCAAAAGUACUAGAUUUUUCCUUUCAAUUUUCUUGUUUUGUUUCUUUUUUCCCGGAAAACUUGCUGUUUGGGUCCCGAGUUACAGUUAAACAGCACUGGUUUUUCUUGGCUUAAUGUCUUGUUCUGUAAUGGUUUUGUGGUUGGUUCAAUGAAGCUCAACUUUCUAGGGUAGAAAAAUUAAA